AUGAUUGGUGGAAAGCCGACGCGACGGCAAAAGACAUGUCGCACCGCUCGAGGAAGAGACAACGCCGACAGAGAUGUUGAAGUUUAUCAGAGGGAAGGGCCAACAACCUACGGCCGAGCGACAGAAACUACAAAAGGAUCUUUUUGCCUUUCGAAAGACGGUGCAACAUGGAUUCCCAAAUAAACCCACAGCCCUCGCAUGGGAUCCGAGUUUGCGGUUGAUGAUCAUUGGCACGGCAUCCGGCGCCAUUAAGGUAUUCGGUAGGCCAGGUGUGGAAUUCUAUGGACAACACACUAUUGAAAGUGGAGAGAAUGCUGUCACGAAGAUUGUCGCUCUGCCCAACGAGGGACGCGUCGUUUCUCUCUGUGACGAUAACUCUCUUCAUUUGUGGGAGAUUAACGAGAGUUCAGUCGUGGAAACCAAAUCGCUUUCGUUGGAAGGUAAAUUGAAGAAAAUCUCGGCGAUGUGUCUUGAGUCGAGCGGCGAACACUUACUUCUGGGAACCGAGGGCGGAAACAUUUAUCUUUUAAACCUGAAAACAUUUGUGGUGCCUGACAACAUCAUUUACCAGGAUGUCGUAAUGCAAAACGUCCCAGAUGAUUAUAAGAAGAAUCCAGGAGCAGUCGAGGCGAUAGCGGAACAACCAGGUCAUCCAGACAAUAUUCUGAUAGGUUACAAUCGUGGCUUAAUGGUUUUGUGGAACAAAGCGACUCCUGGAGCCCAACAGCUGAUGGGUUUGUUUUCGCGUACGCAGACAUUCGUCUCCACGCAACAACUGGAAUCUGUCCAUUGGGUCUCCGAGACCCGUUUUGUUUCCUCCCACAACGAUGGAUCCUAUGCAUUUUGGAGCGAUAGUAGCGAUAGCAUGCUGGAGUCGACCACAUUGUAUGGACCGUUUCCGUGUAAAGCUAUCACUAAAAUUCUCGUCUAUCCAACCGCAGAGCUUAAAGAACUGGUCUUAUUUUCGGGUGGAAUGCAACGCGCGAGUUACGGCGAUCGUCAUACAAUUACUGUUAUGGUUAAAGGAAAACAUGUCGUUUUUGAUUUCACAUCAAAGGUGAUUGAUUUCUUCACUGUAUUUUCUAAGGAAGAGGAUGGAAAAGAUAUUCCUGCUAGUCCAGAAGCGCUUAUAGUAUUGGCUGAAGAAGAGAUAGUGGCUAUUGAUUUGACUAAUUCUGAAUGGAAAAUGAUGGCAUUACCUUAUUUAGUAUCUCUCCAUGCAAGUGCGGUCACUUGUUCACAACAUGUCCCAAAUGUUCCUGAAGAAUUGUGGGAUAAUAUAAUUGCAGCUGGAAAAGCACAAACAGAACAUCUAUAUUCGGAUAAACCAUGGCCUAUAGACGGUGGAAUUAUUCUUAAUCAAAAAUCGGGAAAUGAUAAACCAAAAACCAGAGAAUUGUUGCUUACCGGUCACGAAGAUGGCACCGUGAGAUUCUGGAAUGCGUCUGAUGUUGCUUUAACACCUCUUUAUAAAUAUAACACAUCCAUUCUGUUUACCGGUGAACAUCUAGAUGUUCUUGAACAACCACCAGAGGAUGAUGAGGAUGAGUGGCCACCAUUUAGAAAAGUUGGAACCUUUGAUCCAUAUUCUGAUGAUCCAAGACUUGCAGUGAAAAAAGUUUUACUUUGUCCUCUGUCAUCGACGUUAGUGGUUGCUGGUACAGCUGGUCACAUAAUUACAGCUACCAUAUCAUCUGAACCUGUGAACAAAGAGAUCAAAGCUAUCACGAUGAAUAUUGUGAACGAUCGUGAUGGAUUUGUUUGGAAAGGUCAUGAUCAUCUUCCAGCGAGAACAACCAGUAUAUCUUUCGCAGUUGGUUUUCAACCACAAAGUCUUCUUCAAUUAUAUCCACCAGCUGCGGUUACAGCAUUGGCUAUACACAGUGAAUGGGGAUUACUUGCAGCAGGCACAGCUCAUGGUUUAGCUGUUUUUGAUUAUACAAGAGGAAAGGCUGUUAAUGUAAAAUGUACACUUAAUCCAAAUGAUCUUUCUGGAGCCAGUGAUACACCAAUUUCUAGAAGAAAAUCAUUCAAGAAAUCAUUGAGAGAAUCUUUCAGAAGAUUAAGGAAAGGAAGAUCACAACGACGAACAAAUGCUAAUAGUCCAACCAGAAAUACGACAUCGGAAAAAAAGAAAGAAACGCCUAGUGUUGCUUCUUCGCCAAGUGGCGAUCUUUCACCAGUAGAAUUGAAACCUGUGGAAAGACAAGUAGAAGCAAGACCUGUAGAUGAUGCGUUGGGAUCAAUGGUUCGAUGUUUAUAUUUUGCUAGAAGUUAUAUUAUAAGCAUGCAAAACACAACGCCUACGCUUUGGGCAGGUACCAAUAACGGUACAGUUUAUGUGUUCACAUUAGCAAUUCCUGCAGGCGUUAGAAGAACAGAAGAAGAUGUAAAUUGUACAUUAGGAAAAGAGAUUCAAUUAAAACAUAGAGCACCUGUAAUUGCAAUCACAAUUCUCGAUGGAUCUAGUGUACCAUUACCAGAACCAUUCGAAGCCGAAAAAGGCGUGAGUCCUGGUCCUGAUAUGGCAUCACCACAUAGAGUUGUAAUUGCUAGCGAAGAACAAUUCAAAAUCUUCAAUCUUCCAUCCUUGAAACCAUAUUGUAAAUACAAACUUACUGCACAUGAAGGUUCACGAGUAAGAAAAACAGGUUUUGCAAAAUUCACAUGCCCAAUGGAACCUGCGGGAACACAUGAAGAAACUUGUUUGUUAUGUUUGACCAAUCUUGGAGAUUGUUUAGUGCUCAGUAUUCCAGAAUUGAGAAGACAGCUUAAUGCUGCUGCUAUUAAGAAAGAAGACAUUAAUGGAAUUUCUUCGUUAACAUUCACAAAAGCUGGCGAAGCAUUAUAUCUAUAUUCAAGUUCGGAACUGCAACGAAUUUCAUUGUCGGCUAAUAAAGUGACAAAAGCAAACUGUGCGUUAAAUUUACCACCAAAUGCUAGAUCAUUUCCUGAAACUAAUAACGAAGAUACUCAAGAGGAAGGAAUAAUUGAAGGUACACCUGAAACGGAAGGUGAAACAACCCAGGGAAGUCAAUCAGUUACAAUGCAAAGGAUUACAGAGAAUGGUGUAGUGGGUUCUAUAACAGUUCACUUUUCAGAAAUGCAACGUCUUCCGAAGAACUUCACAAUCGUCUUGCAGGACUUAAAAUGGAGGUGACUUCACGAACUUCGGAAAUCUCUACUCAAAAUCAAUCGCUAGUUUUAAAGACUACUACCGUUGUUUCGCAAACAACCAACAAUACUACUGCUAAUGGAGAGAUCGAAACAAGUCAAACAAAUGAAACUCAACAAGUGAACAGCACUACAGUAGAAAGAGAGAUUCGCAGCGGUACUGAAACUACAACAACACAUGCUACAAUUACUCUACCUUCAAACGUCGAGGUCAUCAAACGGCACUGACAAUGAAAAUAUUGUGUUAAUUAGUAUCGGAUCUUACUUCAAUGCUAAGCCUAUACUCCGCGAUCCAAAUGAAAGAUUUAUGAAUUUUUAGUGUUUCUUAAAAAUCGUGCAAUAUACAGAAAUUCUGUACUCAUUCAUAUAAAAACUACCUCUCUUUUAAUAAUAUAAAAAAAGGACGACAAUUAAUAAUAUUAUUUUUUUAAAACUUUUAAAAAAUAAUGUUUUUACAAAAUUUGGGUGUGACGAAAUGAUAGGAGGGUAUCUUUAGAAAGAAAUAAAAAUUUUAUCAAGA
rnacentral:misc_RNA from 1 species